rnacentral:lncRNA from 1 species
UGCUCCCUUCCAUAGGAAACAUUAAGAUGUCCUGAGCUUCUUGGGGCUGUGGAAAGGGAUGCCUGCUUGGUUUUCCCAUUUUUCUUUCUUCUGCUUUCACCUAAAUGGACUGGGCAGUUGCAUGAAAGGAAUGACAUACUUGUCACUAUCAUGCAUGUGAAGACAAUGAAGCUGAAUUAGAGAGUUUUUCCAAGUGCGCAUAGCCGGUAAGUGGAAGAGGUUGGUAUUAAAACUAUGCUGCUCAGAUUCUGUAGCUCUUUUCACCAUUAUGUGUUCUGCCAUUUUCCUAUCUUGAAGGGAACGUUAUUGUGUAAGUUCAAAUAAUUUUACAAGGUGAUCUUGUGCAGACCGGUCCUCAUAGACAGAGGGCAAGGAGAAACCAAAGAAAGAGAAGGAUCACUCCAGACUGGUAGGUGGCAGUUUUA